rnacentral:misc_RNA from 1 species
CGUAAAGGUGCAUGAGUGGUGUUUGGUAUGUUACGGGUGGUUGGAUGUCUGCUUGUGCAGCAACGUCCACGCGUGCAUACCUCUUCAGUUGGGCGGCCGGGCUUGUUUUGCCUUGGUCGAUCGUGGGUUUCCUGUGUUGCAUACCUAAAUGACGGUACCGUUUGAUUCGAUUGAUGUCCCUUUCGUCUUCCACCGCACUUGUGGUGCGGGACGAACCAUGAAGCUGUCUCGGUGACCCAUCCUGUCGAUGUACACGCAUCGUUGGUGUGGCUCAUUGAGCAUUGCYUGGUCUCUUGGAUACGGUAGCCGAAGUGGGCAAGGGGUCUCGUGAUCUCUUGUUUGCCCUCGUCUAGCGUUCUCGCUUCUAAAAAACGACCGUCCGUCGCGUGCUGGCUCGUCCGGCGUGGCGGGCUUUGUCGAAGAGGAAUGCUACCUGGUUGAUCCUGCCAGUAGUCAUAUGCUUGUCUCAAAGAUUAAGCCAUGC